GGGAUUUUCAGGGUUUUAUUCUUAAUUUUUGGGGGAUUUUUUGUGAUUUUUCAGUAUUUUUGGGGGGCUUUUCGGGGGGAUUUUGAGGAAUUUUCCUGGAAUUUUGGGAGAUUUUUCUGGAUUUUGGGGGGAUUUUUGCGAUUUCUGGGAGUUCCGGGAUUUUUGUGGGCUUUGUCUGGGGAUUUUUUGGUUGUGUUUGUUUUUUUGUGGGUUUUUUUUUUUUUUUACGGUUUUUAUUAUUUUAUUUUUAUUUUUUGGAGGUGUUUUGUGGCUUUUUUUUGUUGUUGUUGUUUUUUUCUCAUUUUUCCCCUGAAAUGGCCAUUUUUUCCCUUUGAAAUUCCCUUUUUUUUUUGCCCUGAAAUUCCAGGUUUUUCCCCCCAAAUUGCCAUUUUUUCCUCCAAAACUCCAUUUUUUCCCCCCAAAACUCCAUUUUUUUCCUUCAAAAUUCCAUUUUUUCCUCCCAAAACUCACAUUUUUUUCGCCAAAAUUCUCAUUUUUCCCCCCAAAAUUCCAUUUUUUCUCCCAAAAUUCUCGUUUUUCCCCAAGACNNNNNNNNNNUUUUUUGGGGGAUUUUUCAGGGGAUUUUCAGGGUUUUAUUCUUAAUUUUUGGGGGAUUUUUUGUGAUUUUUCAGUAUUUUUGGGGGGCUUUUCGGGGGGAUUUUGAGGAAUUUUCCUGGAAUUUUGGGAGAUUUUUCUGGAUUUUGGGGGGAUUUUUGCGAUUUCUGGGAGUUCCGGGAUUUUUGUGGGCUUUGUCUGGGGAUUUUUUGGUUGUGUUUGUUUUUUUGUGGGUUUUUUUUUUUUUUUACGGUUUUUAUUAUUUUAUUUUUAUUUUUUGGAGGUGUUUUGUGGCUUUUUUUUGUUGUUGUUGUUUUUUUCUCAUUUUUCCCCUGAAAUGGCCAUUUUUUCCCUUUGAAAUUCCCUUUUUUUUUUGCCCUGAAAUUCCAGGUUUUUCCCCCCAAAUUGCCAUUUUUUCCUCCAAAACUCCAUUUUUUCCCCCCAAAACUCCAUUUUUUUCCUUCAAAAUUCCAUUUUUUCCUCCCAAAACUCACAUUUUUUUCGCCAAAAUUCUCAUUUUUCCCCCCAAAAUUCC
rnacentral:lncRNA from 1 species